rnacentral:rRNA from 1 species
GAUGAACGCUGGCGGCGUGCCUAACACAUGCAAGUCGAGCGAACAGACGAGGAGCUUGCUCCUCUGACGUUAGCGGCGGACGGGUGAGUAACACGUGGAUAACCUACCUAUAAGACUGGGAUAACUUCGGGAAACCGGAGCUAAUACUGGAUCAUAUAUUUAACCGCAUGGAUCAAUAGUGCUAGACGGUUUUGCUGUCACUUAUAGAUGGAUCCGCGCCGCAUUAGCUAGUUGGUAAGGUAACGGCUUACCAAGGCAACGAUGCGUAGCCGACCUGAGAGGGUGAUCGGCCACACUGGAACUGAGACACGGUCCAGACUCCUACGGGAGGCAGCAGUAGGGAAUCUUCGGCAAUGGGCGAAAGCCUGACCGAGCAACGCCGCGUGAGUGAUGAAGGUCUUCGGAUCGUAAAGCUCUGUUAUUAGGGAAGAACAGAUGUGGAUGUAUAUCUGCACGUUUUGACGGUACCUAAUCAGUAAGCCACGGCUAACUACGUG